rnacentral:rRNA from 1 species
UACGGGGGGGGCAAGCGUUGUUCGGAAUUACUGGGCGUAAAGGGCGCGUAGGCGGCCUGUUAAGUCGAACGUGAAAUCCCCGGGCUCAACCCGGGAACUGCGUCCGAUACUGGCAGGCUUGAAUCCGGGAGAGGGAUGUGGAAUUCCAGGUAUAGCGGUGAAAUGCGUAGAUAUCUGGAGGAACACCGGUGGCGAAGGCGGCAUCCUGGACCGGUAUUGACGCUGAGGCGCGAAAGCCAGGGGAGCAAACGGG